rnacentral:rRNA from 1 species
UGGGGAAUAUUGCACAAUGGGCGCAAGCCUGAUGCAGCGACGCCGCGUGCGGGAUGACGGCCUUCGGGUUGUAAACCGCUUUUGAUCGGGAGCAAGCCUUCGGGUGAGUGUACCUUUCGAAUAAGCACCGGCUAACUACGUGCCAGCAGCCGCGGUAAUACGUAGGGUGCAAGCGUUAUCCGGAAUUAUUGGGCGUAAAGGGCUCGUAGGCGGUUCGUCGCGUCCGGUGUGAAAGUCCAUCGCUUAACGGUGGAUCUGCGCCGGGUACGGGCGGGCUGGAGUGCGGUAGGGGAGACUGGAAUUCCCGGUGUAACGGUGGAAUGUGUAGAUAUCGGGAAGAACACCAAUGGCGAAGGCAGGUCUCUGGGCCGUUACUGACGCUGAGGAGCGAAAGCGUGGGGAGCGAACAGGAUUAGAUACCCUGGUAGUCCACGCCGUAAACGGUGGAUGCUGGAUGUGGGGCCCGUUCCACGGGUUCCGUGUCGGAGCUAACGCGUUAAGCAUCCCGCCUGGGGAGUACGGCCGCAAGGCUAAAACUCAAAGAAAUUGACGGGGGCCCGCACAAGCGGCGGAGCAUGCGGAUUAAUUCGAUGCAACGCGAAGAACCUUACCUGGGCUUGACAUGUUCCCGACAGCCGUAGAGAUAUGGCCUCCCUUCGGGGCGGGUUCACAGGUGGUGCAUGGUCGUCGUCAGCUCGUGUCGUGAGAUGUUGGGUUAAGUCCCGCAACGAGCGCAACCCUCGCCCUGUGUUGCCAGCACGUCAUGGUGGGAACUCACGGGGGACCGCCGGGGUCAACUCGGAGGAAGGUGGGGAUGACGUCAGAUCAUCAUGCCCCUUACGUCCAGGGCUUCACGCAUGCUACAAUGGCCGGUACAACGGGAUGCGACACGGCGACGUGGAGCGGAUCCCUGAAAACCGGUCUCAGUUCGGAUUGGAGUCUGCAACCCGACUCCAUGAAGGCGGAGUCGCUAGUAAUCGCGGAUCAGCAACGCCGCGGUGAAUGCGUUCCC